GUGGUGAGUCCUCCGAUAAAGGCAAUGGAAUUGCAUCUGAGGACCAGUAAUCUGAGUACUUUGAAAAUCUCCAUUCUAGAUAUUGUGUUUAAUGAAGGAAGAAUUUUAAUGGAAGAAGGAUAAGCAAUUUCAAGGUGUAGACUUCUAUUGCACAUAUCUCGGUAUUUCGAUCGUAACUCUGUCUACAGAGUUCCAAAUGAGAUAAUUCUUAGACCAUUGGAAAGUUAAGAGAAAAAUAUUCAACUUUUAUGCUUACCACUUUGCCCAAUUCAUCUUGGAAGGUGGUCAAAAAUCUUAACGAAGUUGAAGAACUACAGUAGUCCUAGAGCAAUUAUGAUUUCUUCUAAUUAAUUGGUCGAGGCAGCGACUUUGGUGGAGGUAGGCUGCAGCUUACAUAGUCUGAUGAGGAAAUCCUAUUUCGAAUUGAAUUCUUUCUUCACCCAACUUAGCCUAAGUUCAAAGCUAUAUAAAAACAACAUUUCAGAGGACUUUUAGAAAAAAAAAACACAACACUAGAUUAAAAGCUGAGAAUCAAGCCACAAAGUCAUUAAAGCUGAAAAGAAAUUAAGAGAUUCAAGAAAAUUUGGAAGAUUAAGAAUACAGUUCUUGGGUUCUUUUAUCUUUUUAUUAUUCUUUUAUUUCCUUAGCUUGAAUUUAAUGUUUCAACUUUAUUUGAUGAUGAUGUGUGACUUGAUGAGGAACUAAAUUAUUUAUUUAAGAUUAUGAUUGAACUCAA